rnacentral:tRNA from 1 species
GGUGUAGCUCAGUUUGGUAGAGCACCUGAUUUGGGAUCAGGAUGUCGCAGGUUCAAGUCCUGUCAC